UACGGAGGGUGCAAGCGUUAUCCGGAUUCACUGGGUUUAAAGGGUGCGUAGGCGGACACUUAAGUCCGUGGUGAAAUCUCCGAGCUUAACUCGGAAACUGCCAUUGAUACUAUUUGUCUUGAAUAUUGUGGAGGUAAGCGGAAUAUGUCAUGUAGCGGUGAAAUGCUUAGAUAUGACAUAGAACACCAAUUGCGAAGGCAGCUUACUACACAAUGAUUGACGCUGAGGCACGAAAGCGUGGGGAUCAAACAGG
rnacentral:rRNA from 1 species